GGCCUUUCAUUCAUUCAUCUCUUCCUGCUACUGGUAGCCACAAUACACACAUAUGAACACACAUGGAAGGAAGAAAGGGACAUGCCUCGUGCUGCUACAAGGUUGAAGGUGAAAUUCAUGCCUCUUUCCUAGUCCCUGGGUUGGCCAUUGCGGUACAAGCCAGGGAGUUUCUUUUUUUCACCUCUUCAAAUCUCUAGCCCUUGGUUCGGCCAUCGCGGUACAAACCAAGGUGCUUGUUUUACCUACCCAAAAUAUUGUUCUUGGUUCGGCCAUCACGGUACAAACCAAGGUGUUUGUUUCAUCUACCCAAAACAUUGCCCUUGGUUCGGCCAUUGCGAUACAAACCAAGGUGCAUGUUUCAUCUACCUAAAACAUUGUCUUUGGUUCGACCAUCGCGGUACAAACCAAUGUGCUUGUUUCAUCUACCCAAAACAUUGUUCUUGGUUCGGCCAUCACGGUACAAAGCAAGGUGCUUGUUUCAUCUACCCAACACAUUGUCCUUGGUUUGGCCAUCGCGGUACAAACAAAGGUGCUUGUUACAUCUCAAAUUUUGGUCUUUGGUUCGGCCAUCGCGGUACGAGCCAAGGAAUAUUUAUGGUGCUUUACGUGAAACAUAUGCUUCAUCCUCAUGAUUUUCUUCUUGACUCGGUCCCGUUAGAGAUACAAUCCAAGAUGAACGCCUCGUUCCUUGGUUUGGUCCCUAUACGUGGAUACAAAUCAAGAGAAUAUCAUAAGGACAAAAACUUCAUGAAGAUUGCCUUAGUUUGUUUAUCGUAAACAAAAUUUAUAUGACUGAGUUGGAAUGGAAAAUAAUGAAUGUG
rnacentral:lncRNA from 1 species